rnacentral:rRNA from 1 species
AUACGAAGGGUGCUAGCGUUGUUCGGAAUCACUGGGCGUAAAGGGUGCGUAGGCGGCUUGACAAGUCUGAUGUGAAAGCCCGGGGCUUAACCCCGGAACUGCAUUGGAAACUGUCUCGCUGGAGUGUGGAAGGGGUAAGCGGAAUUCCUAGUGUAGAGGUGAAAUUCGUAGAUAUUAGGAGGAACACCAGUGGCGAAGGCGGCUUACUGGUCCACAACUGACGCUGAGGCACGAAAGCGUGGGUAGC